AAAAAAAAAGUUUCCCUAAACUAUAGGUUAUGCAUGUAACCUAGGCAUUGUUCUUUAUGUUUCAAACCUGUUUUUAUUUAAACUUUUAAUGUACUUGUAUUAAUUUUUAAUCAUUUUAUUUUUUGAGAUUAUAGUCACACACCCCCAUCCUGCUCCAUACUUGAUUUUAAAUUUUAUUUUAUUUCCUUUCAGAUGGGUGGCCAGUUGUAUCUGAAAGUGUUUUCAGAGUAAUUUAUCAUUUUCCCAUUGAACUGUCACUUCGGCUGACAAACAUCUCCAAUAACCACACAACUCUCAUUUGUUCACUCUGUACCAUGAAUACGUUUUAUGUUCUUACUAAUAUCAUGUUGAUUUCAAUUCAGUUUUGUAGUAGUUUUAAUAUUUUAACAGUUUGGUACGUACACAUUUACUCUUUCUUCAUACAUUUUUAGGUGUGUAUUUGUAUAUGGUGUAUGUUUGUAUGUCUAUGACUAUUCUCACAUGAGGGGGUACACGUGUGUACAGAUGAAUGGCCACAUAUGUACACAUGUCUAUAGCGGCCAAAGGCUGAUGUUUGCCACCAGCCACUCAAGUAAUGACACGGAGAUUUCUUAAUAAUUAUGGAAGCUUAGCUUUAGCUUGGCCAUCUCUCAACUAACUCAUCUAAGUGCAUCCAACCACCUAGCUCCAUCCAGCCAUGUGGCUUGUCAUGUCUCCUCAGAACUGACACCUGCCCAUCUGCUGGCAAAUCUCUCACAUCUGCCUCUUUCCCAGAGUUCCUAUCUCUGCCCAGAAGUCCUGCCUUUCCUCUCUUGCUUUACUAAAGGCUGUUCAGCUCUUUAUUAAACUACGAGGUGAUGGAAAAGAUGUUUACAGAACGGAGACAGGUGAUGCUUCUCACAGUGCACAAGAGAUUACCUCCACAGCUGUUGCUUUCCUCUGUUGGUCUCCACGUUAUAUACUGAGGCUGGGUCUCACGUUGGAUCUAGAGUUAAUGUAGUUAGGGAUCCUUUGUAGGAGUCAGGCAGGCUGCCACGCCCAUCUGACAUUUAAGUGGUUGUUGGGAUCCAAAGUACUUGUGUGAUGAGCACUUGGUACUUACCCAGGCAUCUCCUCAGUCCUUGUCUUACGUUUCUAAGUAGUUUUAUUCGCUGUCCUUCAGUAUUCUUUAUUUUACAUUGAGAACCAUUUUCUCUACUUCC
rnacentral:lncRNA from 1 species